rnacentral:rRNA from 1 species
AUACGUAGGGAGCGAGCGUUGUCCGGAAUUACUGGGUGUAAAGGGAGCGUAGGCGGGAGUGCAAGUCAGAUGUGAAAUACAUGGGCUCAACCCAUGGGCUGCAUUUGAAACUGCAUUUCUUGAGUGAAGUAGAGGUAAGCGGAAUUCCUGGUGUAGCGGUGAAAUGCGUAGAUAUCAGGAGGAACACCGGUGGCGAAGGCGGCUUACUGGGCUUUUACUGACGAUGAGGCUCGAAAGCGUGGGGAGCAAACAGGAUUAGAUACCCUGGUAGUCCACGCUGUAAACGAUGAUUACUAGGUGUGGGGGGACUGACCCCUUCCGUGCCGCAGUUAACACAAUAAGUAAUCCACCUGGGGAGUACGGCCGCAAGGUUGAAACUCAAAUGAAUUGACGGGG